AAAAAGCCUGGAAGGGGAUGGUUUGGUUGUGGUUUAGUGCAGCGGCUUCCGGACAGUUUGCAGGGGUGGGGUCCACAUUCUGCUGUUGUAGGAUUUCUCACUCGGUGUGUUCUCCUGAAGCAGGCCCCAGCAGUAGCUACGUGACAUUUAUCUCGUCUCCAUAACCUGUUUGUAGGUGCUGUCAUCAUCGUCAUCAUCAUCAUCAUCGUCAUCAUUCUCAUUUACAGGCAAGAAGAACCUGGAAUACUUGUGAUUGGUGAGCCAUUUCUAAAGGAAUGACCAGAUAACCUUUUUGACAUAACCAGCCAGGAGAGUGAAGCUCAGGUGCCGAGGAGGCCAAGUUUUAUGCUAAUUAAGUAGAGUCAUCCAGAGACUUGAAAUACCAGCUAAGGCCCCACCAAGACAAAGGAGGUGAGCCACUUCCAGUGCACAAGAAGAGGCUUCUGGGCCACCGUACCACCCCUACCAGCACACAGGAGGUGAGCCAUACAGGCACCAGCACCACCACCACCCCCCCAUCCCAUCGAAAUGAGAAGACACGUAAACAAGUCUCAAAACCAGACUUCCAGAUCACCUACAGCUACACCAAAGGGAAACGACAUGGAACACUCUGACAUGCAACCAUCUGGACUCCCUGAACUGGCAACAAAAGAGGAUCUGGAAAAAAAUGAAAUCAGAAAUAAUUUCUCAGAUAACAGCAGAGAUUGUGCUCAUAGUGCAAGACGUGAUUAAUAAAUCUAGAGAGGUGCUCAGGAACACGAUGGAAUCCCAACACAGGAGACAAAUGGAAUCCAUAAAACAGAUGCAAACAGAUUUCCAAGAGAUUAAAAACUCCAUUUAAAGUCUACACAGCAGAAUGAGCCAAUGUGAGGACAGAAUUUCAGAUAUAGAAGAUAAGACUGCAGUUAGUGACCCAGAAAAGAAAAAUUGCUUUAAAAUUGUAAGGGACCAUGAGAAAUCAAUCCAUCAGCUGCUAGACGAUGCAAAGAAGAAUAACAUAAGACUGACUGAAGUCAAUGAAGAAACAGGAGAGAGUGCAGAUGACAUAAAAAAAAACUAUUCACAGAAGUGAUGGCAGAAAACUUCCCAAGCAGGGGAAAAGAACUUGACAGACAGAUAAGUAAGGUAUAUAGGACUCCAACUAGGCUUGAUAAAAAAAACCACACAAAGGCAUAUAAUUAUUAAGAUUCCAGAAACCCAACAGAAGAACAAAGUUCUACAAGCAGUUAGAGAAAAGAAACAAAUCACGUACAAAGGAAAGCCCAUCAGAAUCACAGGAGACUUCUCAAUGAAAACCCUCAAGGCAAGAAGGGCUUGGAGUGAUUCAUUUCAAGCUCUAAAGGAAAACAGCCUCCAACCGAGAUUGAUGUACCCUGGAAAAUUAUCUUUCAAAAUUGAUGGAGAAAAAAAUUGAUGGAGAAAUAAGAUAUUUUCAUGAUAAAGAGCAACUUCAUGAAUACCAAACCAGCACUCCAAAAAAUUUUAGACAGUAUCUUAGGAAACAACAAUGAGGAUCACAACCCCAGGAAGCCCAGCAGAAUGAAUCCAUCAG
ensembl:lncRNA